UGUGUACCAGGAGGGUGGGGGUUCAAUUCCUGUUCAGAACACAUACCUAGGUUGCAGGAUUGAUCCUCAGCCAGGGCAUGUAUGGGAGGCAAACAUUGAUAUUUC